CCUACGGGUGGCAGCAGUGAGGAAUAUUGGUCAAUGGACGCAAGUCUGAACCAGCCAUGCCGCGUGCAGGAAGACGGCUCUAUGAGUUGUAAACUGCUUUUGUACGAGGGUAAACGCAGAUACGCGUCUCUGUCUGAAAGUAUCGUAUGAAUAAGGAUCGGCUAACUCCGUGCCAGCCGCCGCGGUAAUACGGAGGAUGCACGCGUUAUCCGGAUUUAUUGGGUUUAAAGGGUGCGUAGGCGGUCGGAGAAGUUAGAGGUGAAAUCCCGAGGCUCAACUUCGGAAUUGCGUCGGAUACUGUUCGGCGAGAGAGUAGGUGCGGUAGGCGGAAUGUAUGGUGUAGCGGUGAAAUGCUUAGAGAUCAUACAGAACACCGGUUGCGAAGGCAGCUUACCAAGCUACGUCUGACGUGGAGGCACGAAAGCGUGGGGAGCAAACAGGAUUAGAUACCCUGGUAGUC
rnacentral:rRNA from 1 species